GGCUUGUUGGUGCAGUCUAUAAAUGGAAAUAGCAGAAAAACAGCGGCUUCCCUCGCCCACCCAGGACCAGAUGCAAGACUACUGAUGAAAAUUAAAAAAUGAGGUAUAUACGCUCUGCCUUUGUCUUUCCUGGCCACACUACCUGCCAGCAUGAUGCCAUCAGAGGCGGCGUCUCGUCAUCUCAUCGCUCCGUGGCUGCUGGGCUGCCGCCAGUAGCGCCGCACCACCUGCUCCCACCCCUCCCUCUCCUUCCUUCCUACCUCUGGGUGCAAUCUGCCCACCUGCUUCCAUGGGUUCAUCCUCGAGAUCAUCCCCUCGAGGCAGUGAAGACAUUAUCUCAGUGGAGUAAAAAGCUAGAGGUAAAGUGACAGAGCUAGUUUUAAGUGCCUCUCUGAAAACACCACAGAAGCCCUUUGGCUGUUUCUGUCUCUGUCUCUUUUUUUUUUUUGUAUUUAAGCACAGCAAAGUUUUCAGAUUGGAUUAAAAUGAACAGAAGGGGUUUGCAGGUGAGGAGUCGUGGCUCCCUGCUGAAGGCUAGCCCCGUGUUUGUUGUUGGCGUUGUUGUUAUAGUCAUAAUAUUGUGCGUUUAUCUGGAGAUGAUGCUGACGUUCCCGUGGUGACUGAUACUAGACAGCUCUGCUGUUUCAUCAGAUGCCGGUGUAAUCUUUUGGGCAGAAAAUGAAUAAAUGUCUGGAACAAUUUGCCAAUUCA
ensembl:lncRNA